rnacentral:rRNA from 1 species
UACGUAGGCAGCAAGCGUUGUUCGGAAUUACUGGGCGUAAAGAGUGUGUAGGCGGUGCUCUAAGUCUGUUGUGAAAUCUCCCGGCUUAACUGGGAGGGUGCGGCGGAAACUGGUGUGCUUGAGGGUGGGAGAGGUAAGCGGAAUUCCUGGUGUAGCGGUGAAAUGCGUAGAUAUCUGGAGGAACACCGGUGGCGAAGGCGGCAUCCUGGACCGGCAUUGACGCUGAGGCGCGAAAGCCAGGGGAGCAAACGGG